rnacentral:tRNA from 1 species
GGGGAUUUAGCUCAGUGGCAUCAGCAUCUGCCUGGCAAGCAUAAGGUCAUGAGUUUGAUUCCCAGAACCCCCC